AUUGAACGCUGGCGGCAGGCCUAACACAUGCAAGUCGAGCGGAGCGGCGGACGGGUGAGUAAUGCAUAGGAAUCUGCCUGGUAGUGGGGGAGAACGUCCGGAAAUGGGCGCUAAUACCGCAUACUAUCAGAUGAGCCUAGGGCGGAUUAGCUAGUUGGUGGGGUAAAGGCCUACAGAGGCGACGAUCCGUAACUGGUCGGAGAGGAGGAUCAGUCACACUGGAACGGAGACACGGUCCAGACUCCUACGGGAGGCAGCAGUGGGGAAUAUUGGACAAUGGGCGAAAGCCUGAUGCAGCCAUGCCGCGUGUGUGAAGAAGGCCUUCGGAUUGUAAAGCACUUUAAGUUGGGAGGCGUUACCAACAGAAUAAGCACCGGCUAACUUCGUGCCAGCAGCCGCGGUAAUUC
rnacentral:rRNA from 1 species